rnacentral:lncRNA from 1 species
CCUGAGAACACCAUGGGCUCUCAGAGAUGCUAUAUUCUACACUCUACAAAAUGUGUUGGAAAAGAAGGGCCCAAAACAAGUUUAAUAAACUUGUCAACAUCACAUAUUUCUGAAUACGUAUCUCAAGGUCUGAGGUAUUGAACUUAGCAUACUACAAAAAUUUAAACGUGUAAUUUUUAUAUCAUUCCUACAAAGUUUAGGUGAGAGCAGAUAAUUUGCUCACAUGGAGGCUAAGCAGUACUGAGCCUGAGGUCAUGUUUCAAUGCCAACACUAGGCAUAGACCCAAUGUUAUUUUGUGAUUCCUAUUCCAGUGGUCUCUUUCACUGUUACUUUGUUGCACUGUGGACAUACAUCUUAGCACUGAUACCUUUUCAUUUUAAAAGUACACAUAUCAUGGGGUUUGCAUUUUAAAAAGACACAUGUUAUAGGAUUUUGUGGUUGAAAGCAGUGUAUUUAAUGAAAACAGAGGGUUUAGAGUCAGACCAUCUUGGUUACAGAUUUGCUGCUUUCUAGCCCUGUAGCCAUUGUUUCCUCUUCUUUUAAUGGUGUUAUGAGGAUUACCUGAAGCUAUUUAAGUGAAGCAGUUUGGCACAGUGUCUGACAAAAACUAAUUGUCCAAAAUUUAUGUAUAACAAUUAUUGCUAGCAGGGUUUGUUCUGAGAGAAAGCCCAGAUGGUCUGGGAGAAGUCAUUUCAUGCUGCUGUGGUAUCAGAUCUCACUACCAUCCCUCACCUCUCAAGAAACAUAAGAAACUUGGGAUUCAGGGGAGAAAAUCUAACCAGAGAAAGGCCAAGCUUAUAAACCAGAACAGAUCUCUUGUGAUUUAGAAUCUUUAAUGUCC